CAAGUAUCAUGGCAUGUUCUGAUUCGGCUUUGGAAAAAUGUGGGGACAAAUUAUUUUCAAGGGCAUUUCUCGACCAAGGACAGAGCCUCGACGAUGACCAUUUCUUCGACACGAAUCCCCGACUCGAAUCGUCGACACCGGAGCCGUUAAUCAAGUCAAGCUUCUCAUCAGUUCGGAUUUCAUUUUAUUAUAUCCGCGACACAAGUGUUUUUUUUUGCUUUCUUUCACCGACGAAUCGGCGAGAUUCUCUCCAACCAAAAGCUCUCCCCCUUUUUCGUCUCUCACUUCUGCUUUCACUUCCCCAUCGCUCUUCUUCGACCAGUCGUCUCAUUUCUCCCUUUCAGUUCCUUCUUCGACGUUUCUGGUCUUCGGCGUGAGUGGCAGAUGCAAGAUACCUUCUUCGGAUUUUCUGGUCUUGAAAUUGUUGGAUUCCCCAACAAUUUGAGAUUUUGGAUCUUGAAAUUGUUCAAUUUACAGAUGUUUUGAUUACUUGCGUUUUGAUUUUUUCUCUUGUUUCCAUAUUGUAAGAUGAUUGAUGAGGUUGAUUUCUUAUUGUUUGAUAGAUUUUUAUACAUUGAGGAAAGAUGUUGAAGUAGCAUCAGCUCGUGUCAAAGAGAUUAAAGCUUCUUCUGGUUUACAGCAAAUAGAAAAAGAAAUAGCAACGGUUGAGAAAUCUGUUUUGGGCUGAUGCUAAGAGCAGAGAUGAUUAUCUGAGUUUCAAUGAUGUUGUAUUCUUUGAUACUACUUAUGUUAAGUUUAACUAUAAGUUGCCACUAGCUUUAUUUAUAGGUGUGAACCAUCACUCCCAACCUAUGUUGCUUGUGGAAAGAAGCUUUUGGUCUUACUGAUUCCAAGUUGUUAAAUUUUCGUCAAACUUGUUAAGAAGCUAUCGAUAUAUCUUUGUAAUAUGAACAAAAGAAUGAGUUUCUUGAUUGUUGUCUGACCAGGUCAUAGAAUAUUGUUUUUUUGUUGGAUUAUCUUGGAGCUUUGUUCCCAGUGGGUGCAACAGAGUUAGAAUCUUUUGGAUGUCUGUUCACCAACCCAUUUCAUUCACAUUCCACUGUUGAUUCUAUAUUACCUCUCUAUUAUUCUUGUUGUGGAUUGUUGUGUACUUGGGAGUUGAGCUUACUUUGAGUAGAAGCAAUAAAUCCGACAUGAAGCAAAUAUAAAUGAAGAUGAGAGUGGAAACCGCGCUUGUGAUUCUCUUGGGCCUCAUAUCAGUUCAGCAAUGCUAUGGAGGCGCAAGCAACUGGACUUGCACGUGCUUCUCUUCGGGAAAUCAAAGUGAGAUCCUGGAAUCUAACUGUACCACAUCAUGUAAUUGCAGACCAGGGAUGGAGAUGGCCUUAGCUCCUAUUAUAUUUUUUCAUAAGAGAAAGAUUUGGUUCAACCGGUGUCAUCGAAUUUGCCUCCACCGGUAACUGAAGUUGAUAUUAUCUGUGCCCUAACAUCACCAACAAAAUCUAAGUACAUGUAGUUUCAUUGUAGCAAACAAUGCUUUUCAAUUUUGUUUUGUUCAGUGUUAUUCUUGAGUGUUCAACAGACACGAUUUUGUGAGAUCAAAGGGAAGGUUUGACCAAAUUUUGUUAUUUG